rnacentral:rRNA from 1 species
GAUGAACGCUGGCGGCGUGCCUAAUACAUGCGAGUCGAGCGAACAGACGAGGAGCUUGCUCCUCUGACGUUAGCGGCGGACGGGUGAGUAACACGUGGAUAACCUACCUAUAAGACUGGGAUAACUUCGGGAAACCGGAGCUAAUACCGGAUAAUAUAUUGAACCGCAUGGUUCAAUAGUGAAAGACGGUUUUGCUGUCACUUAUAGAUGGAUCCGCGCCGCAUUAGCUAGUUGGUAAGGUAACGGCUUACCAAGGCAACGAUGCGUAGCCGACCUGAGAGGGUGAUCGGCCACACUGGAACUGAGACACGGUCCAGACUCCUACGGGAGGCAGCAGUAGGGAAUCUUCCGCAAUGGGCGAAAGCUUGACGGAGCAACGCCGCGUGAGUGAUGAAGGUCUUCGGAUCGUAAAACUCUGUUAUUAGGGAAGAACAAAUGUGUAGGUAACUAUGCACGUCUUGACGGUACCUAAUCAGAAAGCCACGGCUAACUACGUG